UUCUUUCUCUUUUUCAUCCAUGCUCUCUUGCUCUUCUGCCUUCCACCAUGGGAUGUUGCAGCAAAAACACUCUCACCAGAUGUGAGCCCCCUUGACCUUGGACUUCCUGGCCUCCAGAGCUUUAAGAGAUAAGUUUCUGUUCUUAAUAAACUACCCAGACUCACAUAUUCUGUUACAGCAGCAUGAAGCAGACAAAGACUACAUGUGUGUAAAUACACACCCCCCCACACACACAUAUAUAGAAAAAUAUAUAUUUAUAUGUACAAGAUAUAUACCAUUUAGGAUGUUUUUAACAUCAAGAGCUUGGAUAUAGGAACAUGUUCUGAUGGGAGCUCUGCUGGGGUUUUUAAGGUUAGCACAAGGGAAACAUUGAAACAAAAUCCUUUCUCUACGCAAAGUGUGAUUUGGUUUUGCAUAAUGCAUUGUGCUUCAGGUGCCAAGUUCCAGACACAAGGAGAAUUAAUGGAAUAGCAUCAGUAAAGGGCUUUAGACUCCUCAGAGGAAGUUCCCCAGCCUCAUUAAAGCUAGCCCUGUUGGAGCUGGAAAUUAUUUUUAUCUGCUAUUCUGGACUUCCUUCCAUCAUCUGGAAGGAUUAUCACUCCUGGUGCACCCCUACUUUGAAGAGUUGCAUUUAUUCAUUACUGCAAAUGAGGCUUUAAAAUGACUCAUCACAUAAAUAAAAUUCAAUGGAAAUUCAAGGAGGAAACAGAUGGAGAUGCCUAUAAGGACAAUUGAGAAAAUAAUCUUAAAGAAGGAGGAAUUUAAGGUAAUCCUUGAAGAAUAGGUCUUACUUCAACAUGCCAUGAUGGGAAGAGGG
rnacentral:lncRNA from 1 species